rnacentral:ncRNA from 1 species
AUAAAAGCUUUGAUAAAGAGGAGUAGGGUAGAUUCAUAUUAAGAGAGGAAAAUUCAUAGGCUGGAAGGUUUUCUAUAUGAUAUAUUUCGAAUGUAGCUUUUGAGCAUUUUUACUGAAAUUUAUAUAUAAGUUUUACGGAAGCUGAUAGCUUGAGUUACUUAUGUUAUUAGGUAAAAACGGAGUUUCAACCGUUAUUAUAUGAGAGCCCAUUUAGUGGGAAUAAAGGUGGUACCGCGAGUCUUCGUCCUUUGG